GCGGUAAUACGUAGGUGGCAAGCGUUGUCCGGAAUUAUUGGGCGUAAAGGGCUCGCAGGCGGUUUCUUAAGUCUGAUGUGAAAGCCCCCGGCUCAACCGGGGAGGGUCAUUGGAAACUGGGAAACUUGAGUGCAGAAGAGGAGAGUGGAAUUCCACGUGUAGCGGUGAAAUGCGUAGAGAUGUGGAGGAACACCAGUGGCGAAGGCGACUCUCUGGUCUGUAACUGACGCUGAGGAGCGAAAGCGUGGGGAGCGAACAGGAUU
rnacentral:rRNA from 1 species